rnacentral:miRNA from 1 species
GACGUCGAUAUUCGACGUCAUAACAGUAUCAAGUUUGGUGUUUAUGACGUCGAUAUUCGACGUCAUAAACGCCAUCAAGUUUGGUGUUUAUGACGUCGAUAUACGAAGUAAUAAACACCAUCAAGUUUGGUGUUUAUGACGUCGAUAUACGACGUCAUAAACACCAUCAAGUUUGGUGUUUAUGACGUCGAUAUUCGACGUC